rnacentral:piRNA from 1 species
UGAAAUUGUGCCUCAAGGUCUCAUCAUAUU